rnacentral:ncRNA from 1 species
AAUGGCAAUGACAAUAGGAAGCAAGGCUGUAAGGUGGAGCAAAUCCAUAAAGUUUGCCUCAGUUCAGAUUGUUCUUUACAGCUAGAGAACAUAAAG